CUUCUAGCAGCGGAACAACGACGAAGGUGGUGAACUCCACUCUGCAGGGACUCUGGCUGGGACACGAUCUAGCUCGCACGCACGACAACCAUCGACAAGCAAUCAAGCAAUCAUGGCAUCACCUGCAAUCUGGCAUGAUACGCCAGGUCAGUACAUUGAAUGUACUUGCAAGCUCACAACAACCAUAAACAUCAAGGCAAGAUAAUAACAUACAAUUAAGUAGGUUAAUUAUUUAACAACUACCAUGAUGAAACAACUACUAAGAAUGGUAUGAAACUGAUACAAUACUAAUAAAUCACCAUCUCAGAUCUCCAUGACCAUAUCUCUCUUGGCUAACCGGCCAAGCAAUAUACCAUCUCGAUCACUUCGUGAUCAAAACCAAACGGUGAUAAUUCCGGCGAUCACUACCACGACCAACACUUGGUCUCAACCGUGAUCCUUCCGGCGAUCACUACCAUGACCAACACUUGGUCUCAACCGUGAUCCUUCCGGCGAUCACUACCAUGACCAACACUUGGUCUCAACCGUGAUCCUUCCGGCGAUCACUACCAUGACCAACACUUGGUCUCAACCGUGAUCCUUCUGGCGAUCACUACCAUGACCAACACUUGGUCCCCAACAUCAUCAUCAACAUCCUGCCAAUCUGAACUGCUCAACAUAUCAACAUAUAAAUAUAUCUCCUAUAAGUCAUUCUGUCAUGUGAGUGUUGAUCGAACGGUGUGACCUAGUACGAACCCUUGCCCAUGACCGAGGACGCGACUAUAAAUAGAUUUAAAUACACACUCUAUAGAGGUAGCGCACUUUACUCACACCACGGAACCUAUGGCCUCGCACUCCCAUUCGGAUGGACCAAUGGCAUUCCGACAAAACCGAUCUACUACCAUGACACUCUCCCGGCCACUCCGACCCACUCCCAACCGGGCUAGUCCUGGGUGGCCCCGUGUCUACCAAAGACACAAUGACCACUGCGUGGCCAAAACGUCCCUCACGGGGACCGUGCACAUAACAAUAACAACAUGCACACAAGGCUUAUGUCCGCCUACCUGAUUAGGGUAGUGCACGCCCAUAAGCUUCCCUAGUUGGAGGCACCAGCGAGAGGCAUGACAAUAGACUGCAUUAGGGCCUACCCAUAAAGGCAAAUGUGGUUGCACUAGAAAAGCCCGGUUCGGUGGCACCUGACCAACUUAAUUACGUAAUUUAUCCCCAAAAUAUAAUAGUAAGGACUGAUACUCCAAUAUCAUCUAUCAACCUAUAAUCCAAGUCGUAGCAAAAUCCAACAAAUAAUCCAAAGCUUAAUAUCAUCAUACCAAGAUACUCCGAGGACAGUAAAACACUACUAUCAUGAUGAACCCAAGAACGAUAAUACUACUACUCAAAUAACUAUCAAGCUAUGAUCCACAUGCAAGCAUCAUCUCCAUCAUCAUAUUCCAUAACAUAAUAUCAACUAGCAUCAUGAUGAAAAUAACACUAGCAACUAAUAAUCCAAAGGCAACAUGAUGUUCAAAGUAGUGCUCCAAGAUAAUAACAAAUACCAUCAUGACAAUAAUCAUACUAGCCACUAAGAAUCCAAAGGCAACAUGUCAUCCAAAGUAAUACUCCAAAGCAUAUUACCAUCAUGAACAUAAUCAUAAUAGCCACUAAGAAUCCAA
rnacentral:lncRNA from 1 species